rnacentral:tRNA from 1 species
GCCUGGGUGGCUCAGUUGGUUGAGUGUCUGACUUCGGCUCAGGUUGUGGUCUCAUAAUUCAUAAUGCAGAGUUCGAGCCCUGCACCAGGUU